rnacentral:lncRNA from 1 species
GACAAAAGAAAAAUAAAAUAAAAGAUAACUAAAGAGAAAAACAAAACCUUAAACAGAUCUUGAAAUAAAGCUCAACUACAACAAAUGAAAGCAAUCAGGACAAUCAAAUUCUUGCAUCCUCAUAUCCACCGUAUGAUUAUGAAGCCAUGCCGACUUUUCAAAAUUAGUUUUUUUUGGUUACUUAAACAAUAGGAAACUGAAUGUUUAUUUACUUUAUUAAUUUUUGGUAAAGUAAAUAUGAUAAGUUUUUCAAUUAUUUAGGUGUACAAGCAAUAAAGCACAGUAUUCAAGUUUAUCUUAUAUACUAAUGAUAAUC